AUUCAAAUCUUUUUUAAAAACAGUAGAAACGAAUAUAAUUUAUCUAAACUAUAACUAUUUUAAAUUAACUAUUCAAAAUUUUAAAAUUAUAACUUUACUAUCCAAUUUUUUAAUUUAUUUGAUUUGGAUCAGUCGACACUUUUGCUUUAAAAUUUAAUGUGUCAUUAAUAUAUACAGAUUUAGUUUGAAUUAUAACAGUUCAAUUCAAAUAUAAUGAUCUAAAUAAUAUUUGAAUUUAUAUAUAGGUAUAAUAUAAUUGUGUGUACUCAAGUAAAUUUUGGCAGUUAAAUCUUGCGUUUCGUGCAAAAACAAAUAUGUGUGACAAUUUUUUUGAGAGAAAAAUAACAAGCCAUCCAUUUUAUUUUUUUAAAUAAAUUUAAAUAAAAAAUAUAAAAAAACUAAGUUUUGAACUUAGAAUCUCACGUAUCAGCCAUUAAACCCUUAGGUAGCGUUUGGUUGGGGAACAAGGGGGGGAAUAAGCCCUUGUUCCCCCCUUUGUUUCCAAACGCUAUGUUUGGUUCCCGGGAACAGUAGUUCCCGGAAAUCUGGAACUAGCUGGAAUAAGGCUGGAACUACUGUUCCACCCGUUUCCUGGAACAAGCUUGUUACUUGAUGAGAACAAGAUUAAUUAAAAUCUAAAUUUAAUUUUAAUGGCAGUAAAUUAUUAAUUAAUCUAAUUAAUAUAUUUAAAUUAUUAUUUAUUAUUUUAAUAAUUAAAUAAUUAAAUAAUUUAUUAUUUAUAAUUAAUUAUUAAUAAUUAAUAAUAUUUAUUAAUUUUUUUAUUAAUAAUUAUUAAUAAUUAUUAUUCUUAAUGACAAUCGAUAUUAUUAUUAAUUUAUUAUUUAUAAUUAAUUAUUAAUAAUUAAUAAUUAUUAUUAUUUAUUAUUAAUUAUUAAUAAUUUUUAUUCUUAAUAAUUAGAUAAUCGAUAUUAUUAUUAAUUUAUUAUUUAUAAUUAAUUAUUUAUAAUUAAUAAUAAUUAUUAUUUAUUAAUAAUUAUUAAUAAUUUUUAUUCUUAAUAAUUAGAUAAUCGAUAUUAUUAUUAAUUUAUUAUUUAUAAUUAAUAAUUUAUAAUUAAUAAUAAUAAUUAUUUAUUAAUAAUUAAUUAAUAAUUCUUAUUCUUAAUAAUUAGAUAAUGGAUAUGAUUAUUAAUUUAUUAUUUAUAAUUAAAUUAUUAUUAUUAUUAUUAUUUAUUAAUAAAUAUUAAUAUUAAUUAUUAUUAAUAAUUAGAUAAUCAAUAUUAUUAAUAAUUUAUUAUUUAUAAUUAAUUAAUAAGAAUAAUUAAUAAUUAUUAUUAUUUAUUAAUAAUUAAUAAUAAUAAUAAUUAUUAUUAAUUAGAUAAUCGUUAUUAAUAAUUAUUAUUAUUAAUUAUUAUUUAUAAUUAAUUAUUAAUAAUUAAUUUUUUAUUUAUUUUUAAGUAAUAUUUUUAUGUUAAUUAAUUACAUAAUAUAAUUUAAUUUCAAAUUAUAACGUUUAUUCCUCUUGUUCCAAUCUAAUCAUCCAAACACUAUUUACCUUAUUCCUAGGAACAACCCAAUUUUCAUCCAAACGCAAAAUUGGUCUAGUUCCUGUUUAUACCUGAACUUGUACUUAUCCCUAGAACUAGCAGUUCUUACUUAUACCCGAACCAAACGCAGCCUUAAACAAUUAUAAUAUAUGCAACACAUUAAGAUU
rnacentral:lncRNA from 1 species